GAUGAGAUAAGAUAGGUAGGAGCUCCAGGCUGCGAACGCCAAUAACUACCUAGAGACUCCUCGGAUCCGCCUGAAGUUGGAAACGAUCAGCACUCGGGAGCGAGACCAGCUACGCCUGAAUAUGCAUACAGGGUGCAGGGAGUAAAGUGAGUACUCCAACUCAGUGAGUAACAAAUGUAAAUAAACACUGAAAGUAAGAAAUCAAGUAAGGCACAAGGCUUUCUAUAAUGAAGCAGUAAAACAAUUAAAACAGUAAACACGUGAAAGGUAGGUAAAAUUCUUUAACUCAAACGUAGUUUCAUGAAAAGCCUUUUUCCAUAAUUAAGCAUGAAAUUGACAGUCAAUUAUGAAAAGUAAACAUAUAAAAGCUCGCCCCUCGGGCACAAUAUCAACAAAUCCGCCUCUCAAGCAAUAUCUCAGAACAGUACCAGCCCCUCAGGCAAUCACAUAGAAUAAUACCAGCCCCUCAGGCUCAAUAUCACAUCACAAUGGGUAUCUGCACUCACUAGGGGUGUACAGACUCCUGGAAGGGCCCCUUAUUGCCCAAGAGCAAUAUCAAGCCACCUCGUGGCGUACAUAUCUCAGGCCCUCAUCCUCAUAAUUAGUAUCAAACGUUUCCUCACAACAUAGGCCCUCGGCCUUACUCAGUCAAAAUCCUUACAAGCCACUAAGGCAAUAGUAAAACAUGAUUCUCAGCCCAAAAAUAUCAUUUAAAAGAUCAUGUAAGUGUUAAUAAUAGAGUAAACAUGGCUGAGUACGAAAAAUAGUGAAAUAUAACAUGAUUGAGUUCAAGUAUAAAGUCAAAACAGUGAGGAAACAAUAGUAAAAAUCCCCAAAGGGUUCAAAUAGUUGACACAAGGCCCAAAUAUGCCAUUCAGCCCAAAUAAUGAUGGUAGCAAAUAGAUUUCAGUCAAAUACGUGGUAAAAUAGUCAUUCGGGAUGGACUAAGUCACAAUCCCCAAUAGUGCACAACCCCACGCUCGUCCUCAAGCGUGUGUGUCAACUCAAUAUAGCACCACAAUGUGCAAGUCCGGGGUUUCAUACCCACAGAACAUCAUUUACAAUUAUUACUCACCUCGAAUCGGUCAAAUCUCUAGCUCGCAAUGCUUUUGCCUCUCGAAUCGGCCUCCACUCAUGUUGAAUCUAUCCAAAAUCGGAAAGAGGACGUCAAAAUAUGCUAAGGGAACGAAGCCCAAGCGAAAAUAAUCAAAAUACUACAUAAAUUCCGAAUUUACCAAAACCAGACCCUCGGGCCCAUGUCUAGAAAUUCGAAUUUUUACAUCACCAGAUUCCUUAUCUCCUCAAGAGUUCAUACAUAUCAAAAGUUCUGAAAUCCGACCUCAAAUAGUCCUUCAAAUCCCCAAGUAAAGGUCUAAGUUCCCAAGCCCUAGUUUCCCCAAUUUUCACCCUUAAUUCCCAUGAUUUCUAGCUCUAAUCCGUGUAAUAAUAGCAUAGGAAUGAGUUUUAGGUCCAAAUUCCUUACCUCAAUGAAGUUUCCUUGAAAUCUCUCUUUCAAAUCGUCCAAAAAGCUCCUAAGACGAAGUCAAAUGUAGUGAAAGAGUUCAAAUUCGCAAAUGCUAUAAUUUAUACCUUUUGCCCAGACAUUUUCGCAUAUGCGGCUAUAUUUUCGCUUCUACGGCACCGCAUCUGCGGUCAUAAACCACUGCAUCUGCGGUCCUCACUUAAACUCCCAUUUUCGCAUUUGCGAUUCAUUAUCCGUAUCUACGACUUCGCAGAUGCGGUCCUCUUUGCCGCUUCUGCGGUUCCUUCUCCUCAGACCCUUUUUCGCUUCUGCGGUCGAUCUCCUGCAUGUGCGGCAUCGCACCUGCGUUUCCCAAUCCGCAGGUGCGGAAAUACUAGAAGCAGCAAAAGUUCAGCAGCUUCAAACAUUCCACAAACUCCCCGUCAACCAUCCGAAAUCAUCCCGAGGCCCCUGGGACUUCAACCUAAAACAAAAACAUAUCCUAAUACCUUAUUCAAACUUGUACCAAUCUUCAAAACACCUCAAACAACGUCAAAUCAACAAAAACACAUCGGAUUCAAGCCAAACUUUCUAAAAUCCUCUGAAUUCCGCGUUUGAUAAAAAUUCCAACCAAACCACGUCCGAAUGACCUGAAAUUUUGCACACACAUCUCAAGUAACACAACGGAACUGUCGGAAUUCCAUUCCGACCCUUAUAUCAAAAUCUCACCUACCAACCGGAAAUCGCCAAAAUAUCGACUUCGCCAAUUCAAGCCUAAAUCUGCUCUGAACCUCCAAAACUCAUUCUGAUCACGCUCAUAAGUCAUAAAUUACCUCCCAAAGCUAACCGAACCUUCGAAACUCACUUCCAAGCCCUCUAACACACAAGUCAACAACGGUUGACAUUUCCAACUUAAACUUACUCUAAAGAGACUAAGUGUCUCAAACCUUACCAAAUCCUUUCCGAACUUGAUCUGACCAACCCGACACCACAUAACACGGAUAAACAAAGCAUAAAAAGGGAGAAAUAGGGGAAACACAGCGGUAACUCAUGAGAAGACUGGUCGGGUCGUCAUAUCAUCCCCAACUUAAACAAAUGUUCGUCCGCGAACGAAUCAAGAAACAUACCUGAAGACUCAAAUAGGUGAGGAUAUCUGCUCUGCAUCUCCCGCUCGGUCUCCCAGGUAGCCUCCUCCACGGGCCGACCUCUCCACUAUACUUUCACUGAAGCUAUAUCCUUUGACCUCAACUUCCAAACCUGACGACCCAAAAUAGUUAUUGGCUCCACAUCAUAAGUCAAAUCAUCAUCCAACUGAAUCGUGUUGAAAUCUAAAACAUGAGACGGAUCCCCAAUCUACUUCCGGAGCAUAGAAACAUGAAAUACCGGAUGCACACUCGAUAAACUGGGCGGCAAGGCAAGCUCAUAUGUCACCUCCCCAAUCCUCCGAAGCACCUCAAAAGGAACAAUGAAUUGAGGACUCAAUUUACCUUUCUUUCCAAAUCUCAUAACACACUUCAAGGGCGAAACCUUCGACAGAACCUUCUCGCCAACCAUGUAGGACACAUCUCGAACCUUCUUGUCAGCAUAACUCUUUUGCCAUGACUGCGUUGUAUGAAGCCUCUCCUGAAUCACCUUCACCUUUUCUAAGGCAUCCUGCACCAAGUCUGUCCCCAAUAGCCUAGCCUCACCGAGCUCGAACUAGCCAAUUGGAGAUCUACACCGCCUCCCGUACAAAGCCUCAUAUGGAGCCAUCUGAAUACUCGAUUGGUAGCUGUUGUUAUAAGCAAACUCUGCGUGUGGUAAUAACUGAUCCCAUGACCCUCCGAAAUCAAUGACACAAGCACGCAACAUGUCCUUCAAUACCUGAAUAGUGCGCUCGGACUGCCCGUCCAUCUGAGGGGGAAAAGCUAUGCUCAACUCAACCUGAGUACCCAACUCUCGCUACACAGANNNNNNNNNNNNNNNNNNNNNNNNNNNNNNNNNNNNNNNNNNNNNNNNNNNNNNNNNNNNNNNNNNNNNNNNNNNNNNNNNNNNNNNNNNNNNNNNNNNNNNNNNNNNNNNNNNNNNNNNNNNNNNNNNNNNNNNNNNNNNNNNNNNNNNNNNNNNNNNNNNNNNNNNNNNNNNNNNNNNNNNNNNNNNNNNNNNNNNNNNNNNNNNNNNNNNNNNNNNNNNNNNNNNNNNNNNNNNNNNNNNNNNNNNNNNNNNNNNNNNNNNNNNNNNNNNNNNNNNNNNNNNNNNNNNNNNNNNNNNNNNNNNNNNNNNNNNNNNNNNNNNNNNGAAUAAAGUAAGUACACAACAGGAAUAGAAGGAUGCAGCGGACUUGGGUCAGCUAAUCCACAAUCACCCAAAUAGCGUCGAACUUUCUCAAUGUCCAUGGAAGUCCAACAACAAAGUCCAUAGUGAUCCUCUCCCACUUCCACUCGGAAAUAUCUAUUCGUUGAAGCAAGCCACCUGGUCCCUGAUGCUCAUAUUUCACCUGCUGACAAUUGAGACAUCGAGCUACAAAUCCGACAAUGUCUUUCUUCAUUCUCCUCCACCAAUAAUGCUGCCUCAAAUCCUGAUACAUCUUCGCGGCACCCGGAUGAAUGGAAUACCGCGAGCUAUGGGCCUCUUCCAGAAUCAACUCCCGAAGCCCAUCCAUAUUGGGCACACAAAUCCGGCCCUACAUCCUCAACACCCCAUCAUAACUGAUGGUCACAUCUCUAGCAUCAUCAUGCUGAACUUUGUACUUAAGGACAAGCAAAUGCGGAUCAUCAUACUGGCGCUCCCUGAUACGAUCAUAUAAGGAAGACUGAGAAACCACACAAGCCAAUACCCGACUGGGCUCCGAAAUAUCUAACCUCACCAACCGAUAGGCCAAGGCCUGAACAUCCACUGCAAGAGGUAUCUCCCCAACUGGAAUAUAUGCCAGACUCCCCAUACUCAUCGCCUUUUGGCUCAGAGCAUCGGCCACCACAUUGGCCUUCCUCGAAUGGUAAAAUAUAGUGAUAUCAUAAUCCUUAAGCAACUCCAACCACCUCCGCUGCCUCAAAUUGAGAUCCUUCUAUUUGAACAAGUGUUGGAGGCUACGAUGAUCAGUAAACACCUCACAAGACACACCAUACAAGUAAUGUCUCAAAAUUUUCAACGCGUGAACUAUGGAAGCCAACUCUAAAUCAUGAACAGGGUAGUUUUUCUCAUGGGGCUUCAAUUGACGAGAAGCAUAAGCAAUAACUCUACCCUCCUGCAUCAAAACACACCCAAUACCAACUCGCGAAGCAUCACAAUACAUGGUAUAUGAACCUAAAGAUGAUGGCAAAACUAACACUAGAGUUGUGGUCAACGUUGUCUUGAGCUUCUAAAAGCUCUCCUCACACUCAUCCGACCAUACAAAUGAAACACCCUUCUGAGUCAACUUGGUCAAGGGCGAUGAGAUAGAUGAGAAUCCCUGAACAAAACGGUGAUAAUAACCCGCCAAACCAAGAAAACUAUGAAUCUCUUUUGCUGAGGACGAUAUGGGCCAACUCUGAACAAUCUCUAUCUUCUUCGGAUCAACUUGAAUUCCCUGGCUGGACACCACGUUCCGUAAGAAAGCCACUGAACUAAGCCAAAACUCACACUUGGAGAAUUUUGCAUAAAGUUUCUCCUCUCUCAAUCUCUGCAACACAACUCUCAAAUGCUCCGCGUGCUCCUCCUGACUACGCGAAUAUACCAGAAUAUAAUCAAUGAAGACUAUGACAAAUGAGUCAAGAUAAGGUUGGAACACACUUUUCAUCAAAUGCAUGAACAUUGGUGGGGCAUUGAUCAGCCCAAAAGACAUCACCAAGAACUUAUAAUGACAUAUUGGGUCCUGAAAGCUAUCUUAAGAAUAUCCGAGUCGCUGAUCUUCAACUGGUGAUAACCUGAAUGGAGAUCAAUCUUGGAGAACACUCUUGCUCCCUAAAGUUGGUCAAAUAAAUCAUCAAUGCGAGGCAAAGGAUACUUGCUCUUAAUUGUUACCUUGUUCAAUUGCCUAUAAUUAAUGCACAUCCUAAUAGUGCCAUCCUUCUUCUUCACAAAUAGAAUCGUCCCACCCCAAGCUGACACACUAGGCCGAAUGAACCCUUUAUCAAGGAGUUCCUGAAGCUGCUCCUUUAAUUCCUUCAACUCUGCUGGUGCCAUACGAUACGGCGGAAUAGAAAUGGGCUGAGUGUCUGGCACCAGGUCAAUACCAAAAUCAAUAUCCUUGUCCGGUGGCAUGCCCGGCAGGUCUGCAGGAAACACAUUAGGAAAAUCCUUCACAACUGAAACAGAAUCAGUACUAGGAGUCUCAACACCGACAUCCCUCACGAAGGCUAAAUACAAAAAGACAACCCUUCCCAACCAUACGCUGGGAUUUCAAGAAUGAGAUCACUCUACUAGGAACGUAAUCAGUCACACCUCACCACUCGAUCCGUGGCACACCCGGUAUAGCUAAUGUGACUGUCUUAGUAUGAUAGUCUAGAAUAGCACGACAAAGAGAUAGCCAAUCCAUGCCCAAAAUGACAUUGAAAUCCACUAUACACAAUGAUAAAAGAUCCACACGGGUCUCCAGACCCCCAAUAGUCACCACACAUGACUGGUACAUACGGUCUACAACAACAGUAUUGCCCAUCGGGGUAGAUACAUGACUAAGUGAAGCAAGAAACUCAUGGGGCGUACCCAAAUAACGAGCAAAGUCUGAUGACACAUAAGAAAAGGUGGAACCGGGAUCAAAUAAUACAGAGGCAUCUCUGUGGCAGACUGAAACAAUACUUGUAAUAACAGCAUCUGAAGCAAUAGCAUCGGGUCUGCCUGGAAGUGCAUAGAAACGGGCCUAAUCGCCACCUGAUCAACAUCUCUCUCUAGGGAGACCCUUAGCUAACUGACCUCCACCCUUCGCUGGCUGGGCAGGUGGUGGUGAAGUAACUGACGCUGAAGCCAAUGACUGACCCCUCUGCUGAUAUGAACUGGCAAGACGACGAGGGCACCACCUCUACAUAUAACACAUCUCACCACACUCAUAACAACUCCCAUGUGCUGGAGAAGGGGACUAAAGGGAACCCCUCGCACUAGAGUGACUAGCAGAUGUACUCGGCAUAGAAGAGCCAUGUACUGAUGGAGCACGGGUCGAACUCUGAGCUGGAAGGGCACUAAGUGAUGACUGGCCCUGAUGAGAACUAUCAGAACCAUGACUCGACGAUGCCCUACGAUAACCUGGGCGAGCUAGCUGAGCAUGCCUGAAUGGACGGCCUCUACCGUGCUAAAACUGACCUCUCGAAGGAGUACCCCCAAAAAUACCAGAUCCUUGAGGCCUCUUGGCCUCCCUCUCCUAUUACUCCUGGCGAGAACAAACUCAAUCUCAUGGGCAAUAUCCACAACCUCCUCGAAAGUAGCACCAAUCACCCUUUCCCUAGUCAUGAGAAUACGAAGAUGAUAAGUGAGGCCAUCAACAAACCUCCUAAUCCUCUCUCUAUCUAUCAGAACCAUCCAAAUAGCAUGACGAUCUAUCUCAGAGAACCUCAUCUCAUACUGUGUCACAGUCAUAUCUCCCUGACGCAACCACUCAAACCUCCUACAGAGUUCCUCUCUAUGGUACUGCGGCACAUACUUCUUCAGAAAGAGAAUAGAGAACUGCUGCUAGGUAAGGGGUGCUGCACCAAUAGGCCUACGCCUCUCAAAAGCCUCCCACCAAGUGAAGGCAGCUCCAGAAAACUGAUAAGUAGUGAAAGCGACCCCGCUGGUCUCCGGAAUACCCGUUGUACAAAGCAUCCUCUGACACUUAUCCAAGAAACCCUGGCAUCCUCGCCCUCUGCACCACUGAAGGUCGGAGGCUACAGUCUACCAAACCUCUCCAACCUACGAUGCUCAUCCUUCGGCAUAACAGGAUCUAAAUAGUCGUGAGCAGCUGCAACCGGCUGGGCUGGAUGUGACCCCAGUGUCUGAAGUCCCUGCACGACCUACUCAGGUGUGCGAGCGGUAGGAGUCUGAUUGCCUCCCCCAGCCUGAGAGGUAGCUGCGACUGUAGUGGCUGAAACCGCCUAAGCAAGGCCAGUGCAAACNGGCAAGAUCUGAGCCAAGGCCUCCUGAAAACCCAGAAUCACAAUGGCCACAGCUGGUGCCUGAGCUGGUGCUGCAGGAGCAUCCAUAACUGGGACCUGAUCCUGAACUGGGGCAGCUGGUGGAUUUGCAGGUGCUUCCCUAGUUGCUCNNNNNNNNNNNNNNNNNNNNNNNNNAAAGGUUCUGCAGCAUCUCGAGGAUAAAUAAAACGUCUCCAUACCGAUCCGCUAGACUCUACUAAACCUGCUCAUGAUUAGUGAGACCUGUGCUAAAAUCUGAUACCAGCUUGUCACGACCCUAAACCCGAACCCGGUCGUGAUGGCGCCUCUCAUGAAGACAAGGCCAACCAAUUAAACCCAAUUCACUUUUUAAACAUUUAAUCAGUAAUAAACAGUAUAAGCAUGAGUAAAUAAACCAAAGUCUAAGCAAAAGGUAGCAUAAUAUGCGGAAUAUAGCCCAAACACAGCCUGAUACCGGGGUGUCACAAGUCACGAGCAUCUAACAAUACGAAAUACUCCAAAGAAACUAUAUAGUUUAAAAUGAAAACUAAAGAAAAGAUGAGAUAAGAUAGGGAGGAGCUCCGGGCUGUGAACGCCAACAGCUACCUAAAGACUCCUCGGAUCCGCCUGAAGCUGGAAUGAUCAGCACUCGGGAGCGGGACCAGCUACGCCUGAAUCUGCACACAGGGUGUAGGGAGUAAAGUGAGCACUCCAACUUAGUGAGUAACAAAUGUAAAUAAAGACUGAAAGCAAAAAAUCACGUAAGCCACAAGGCAUUCUAUAAUGAAGCAGUAAAAAAAUUAAAAUAGUAAACCAGUGAAAGGUAGGCAAAAAAUUUUAACUCAAAUGUAGUUUCAUAAAAAGCCUUUUUCAAUAUUUAAGUAGGAAAUUGACAUUCAAUUAUGAAAAGUAAACACAUAAAGGCUCGACCCUCGGGCACAGUAUCAACAAUUCCGCCCUUCUAGGGGUUUACAACCUCCUGGAGGGGCCCCUUACGGCCCAAGCACAAUAUCAAGCCACCUCGUGGCAUCAUCACUAGGCCAUCGGCCUCAUAUCAAUCAAGCGACUUCGUGGCAUACAUAUCUCAAGCCCUCGGCCUCAUAAUCAAUAUCAAAUGUUUCUUCACAACAUAGUCCCUCGGCCUUACUCAGUCAAAAUCCUCACAAGCCACUCGGACAAUAGUAAAACAUGAUUCUCAGCCAAAAAAAUAUCAUUUAAAAGAUUCAUGCAAGUGUUAAAAACAUAGUAAACAUGGCUGAGUACGAAAAACAGUUAAAUAUAACAUGACUGAGUUCAAGUAUAAAGUCAAAACAUUGAGGAAAUACUAGUAAAAAUUCACGAAGGGUUCAAAUAGUUGGCACAUGGCUCAAAUAUGGCAUUCAGCCCAAAUAAUGAUGGUAGCAAAUAGAUUUCAGUCAAAUACGCGGUAAAAUAGUCAUUCGGAAUGGACUAAGUCACAAUCACCAACAGUGCAUGACACCACGCUCGUCAUCAAGCAUGUGCGUCACCUCAAUAUAGCACCACGAUGUGCAAGUCCGGGGUUUCAUUCACUUAGAACAUCAUUUACAAUCAUUACUCACAUCGAACCGGUCAAAUCUCUAGCUUUGCGACGCCUUUGCCCUUCGAAUCGGCCUCCACUCACAUCAAAUCUAUCAGAAAUUAGAAUGAGGACAUCAAAAUAUGCUAAGGGAACGAAGCGCAAGCAAAAAUAAUAAAAAUACUACAUAAAUCACGAAUUUACCAAAACCCGACCCCAGGGCCUACGUCUCAGAAUUCGAUAAUUUUUACAUCAAUGGAUUCCUUAUCUCCUCACGAUUUCAUACAUAUCAAAAGUUCUAAAAUCCAACCUCAAAUGGUCGUUCAAAUCCCCAAGCAAAGGUCUAAGUUUCCUAGCCCUAGUUUCCCCAAUUUUUACCCUUAAUUCCCAUGAUUUCUAGCUCUAAUCCGUAUAAUAUCAUAGGAAUGAGUUUUAGGUCCAAAUUCCUUACCUCAAUGAAGUUUCCUUGAAAACCCUCUUUCAGAUCGUCCAAAAAGCUCCAAAGCCGAAGUCAAAACUGGUAAAAUAGCUCAAAUUCGCAAAAGCUACGAUUUAUACCUUCUGCCCAGACAUUUUCGCAUCUGCAGCUAUAUUUAUGCUUCUGUGGUACCGCAUCUGCGGUAAAAAAUCACCGCAUUUGCGGUCCUCACUUAAACUCCCAGUUCAGCAUCUGCGAUUCAUUAUCCGCAUCUGCGACUUCGUAGAUGCGGUCCUCUUAGCCGAUAUUGUGAUUCCUACUCCUCAAACCCUUUUUUACUUCUGCGGUCGAUCUCCCGCACGUGCAGUGUCACAUCUACGGUCUCCAAUCCGUAGGUGUGGAAAUACCAGAAGCAGCAAAAGUUCAGCAGCUGCAAACAUUCCUCAAACUCCCCGUCAACCAUCCGAAAUAAUCCGAGGCCCCCGGGACCUCAAAAAAAAACACAAACAUAUCCCAAUACCUUAUUCAAACUUGUAUCAAUCUUCAAAACACCUCAAACAACGUCAAAUCAACCAAAACACAUUGGAUUCAAGCCAAACUUUCUAAAAUCCUCUGAAUUUCGCUUUUGAUCAAAAACCCAACCAAACCACAUCCGAAUGACCUGAAAUUUUGCACACACAUCUCAUGUGACACAAUGAAACUACUGCAACUCUCGGAAUUACAUUCCGACUCCUAUAUGAAAAUCUCACCUACCAACCGAAAAUCGCCAAAAUAUUUACUUCGCCAAUUCAAGCCUAAAUCUACUCCAAACCUCCAAAACUCAUUCCGAUCACGAUCCUAAGUCAUAAAUCAUCUCCCAAAGCUAAUCGAACCAUCGGAACUCACAUCCGAGCUAUCUAACACAUAAGUCAACCAGAUGUUGACUUUUCCAACUUAUACUCACUCUAAAGAAACUCAGUGUCUCAAAUCUUACCAAAUCCUUUCCGAACUCGAUCUGACCAACCCGAUACCACAUAAUACGAAUAAACAAAGCAUAAAGAAGCAAAAAAUAGGGUAAACGGGGUGGUAACUCAUGAGACGACUGGUCGGGUCGUCACACGUACCCAUAGUCACGAUGAUUUUAUUAAUUGCGUCUAAAGCAAGCUAUGAUAUUCAUGAGUUAUUUAUUUUCCUGAAAAUUUUAGACUGCUUGGGAACAUCUAAGAGUCAUAUAAAUUAUUGGAAAGAAAUUGUGUGAUUCGAUUAUGGAGAAGAACAUUUUGGACUCAUAGGUCCUACUUAUAUUGGCCCAGAUCUUUAUAAAUUCGAACUAAUCUCACAUGCCAAAUCAUUUUCACUAAGUUCAAGCCUUAUAUUCAACCUCUUUCAAUAGAUACAAUUCCAAUUCUCAUUAACAAAUUUCAAAUUGUUUUAUCUCAAUUUAACAAAGAGAUAGUAGUAUAAUUUCAUGUAGUCACUAAACACAAUAUAGGCAUAAAAGGCAGUUACAAUAAAGAAUAGAUAGAACAAAACAUAAAAAAUGGAGAAUGGAUUAUAUAUUAACUCAAACAAUAAAUAAAGUAAGGCAAUAGAGGAUUAAUGACAACUUGUAAAUUAGAACGAAAGUAGAAAAGGAAUAGAGAUAACAGACCUUUUAUAUAUAUGAAGAUUUGUUGAAUCCAAACAUGAAAACUCGACGAGAGAAUUCGAACAAACCGAACCAGGCACGGAGAACUCGCUGGCGAUCUCGGGUGACAGAGCUUCGACGUGAUUAAUGGAGAAAAUUAAAACUACUUUUGUGGUGCAUUUGGGGUUAGUUUUUGGCUAAAAUGUGGGGCUUUUGGGGGCUGUUUUCGAGUUGAGCUUGGGGGUGCUUUUGGUGGCUUUAUUGUUGAUUUUUGGUGAGCUUUUGGAGCUAUUUUCAAUGGCCAUUUUGCUGUAUUUUUUCAGCUGUAAACAGUGGUGUUUUGGAGUUGUUUGAUGGAGUUUAAGAGUGGCUUAAUGGAGGUUUCAUGGCUAAAAAAAUGGGCUCUUUGGGGUUGUUUGAGGGUGGUUUAAUGAAGGAUUUUAGGAAGAAGAUGAAAUAGAAAAGAGUAGGUGUGUCUUUUUUUUCAGAUUUGUGUUUUCCCCAUUUUUCUCUAUUUCCUCCUAUCCGUCUCUCUCUGUUUUUUGUCCAUUGUCCUCUCAUCCCGUUUAUAUUAAUUGUGAGCCUAGGUGAGUGC
rnacentral:lncRNA from 1 species